rnacentral:rRNA from 1 species
AGUGAACGCUGGCGGUAGGCCUAACACAUGCAAGUCGAACGGCAGCACAGUAAGAGCUUGCUCUUACGGGUGUCGAGUGGCGGACGGGUGAGGAAUACAUCGGAAUCUACUUUUUCGUGGGGGAUAACGUAGGGAAACUUACGCUAAUACCGCAUACGACCUACGGGUGAAAGCAGGGGAUCUUCGGACCUUGCGCGAUUGAAUGAGCCGAUGUCGGAUUAGCUAGUUGGCGGGGUAAAGGCCCACCAAGGCGACGAUCCGUAGCUGGACUGAGAGGAUGAUCAGCCACACUGCAGCUGGGACACGGUCCAGACUCCUACGGGAGGCAGCAGUGGAAAAUAUUGGACAGUGAGCGCAAGCCUGAUCCAGCCAUACCGCGAGAGUGAAGAAGGCCUUCGGGUUGUAAAGCCCUUUUGUUGGGAGAGAAAAGCAGCAGGUUAAUACCCCGCUGUUCUGACGGUACCCAAGGAAUAAACACCGGCUAACUUCGU